rnacentral:rRNA from 1 species
UACAGAGGUGCUCGAGCGUUAAUCGGAGUCACUGGGCUUAAAGGGUGCGUAGGCCGCCUCGCAAGUGCUUUGUGAAAUCCCACGGCUCAACCGUGGAACGGCCCCGGGUACGGGCGGCCUCGAGGGGGGUAGGGGCGUGCGGAACUGUGGGUGGAGCGGUGAAAUGCGUUGAUAUCCACAGGAACUCCGGUGGCGAAGGCGGCACGCUGGACCCCCACUGACGCUGAGGCGCGAAAGCCAGGGAGCGAACGGG